rnacentral:tRNA from 1 species
GAGGGUGUAGCUCAGUGGUAGAGCACACGCUUAGCAUGUAUGAGGUCCUGGGUUCAAGCCCCAGUACCUCCA